UCGGUGAUGACUCCCUGACCAAUUUCCACGUGAUGUGAUUUAUAUGAAGAUGUUAAUAAUUGAAGUAGCAUUUUCUGAAUUCCGGCUAUAGCUCUGCUCUUUCACUGUUAAAAAGAAAUUCUCUAAUUUUAGUAUUGAUAUAUUAAAUAGGUAAAUGUCCGAAGGCUUAUCUGUAUACAUCUGUUAGCGAACUCCGCAGUUGUAGAAUUUGUGUACAAUUAGUCGUGUAUUAACAUAGACGAUAUAAUUACGUGAGCCCAUA